rnacentral:rRNA from 1 species
UACGUAGGGGCCGAGCGUUGUUCGGAAUUAUUGGGCGUAAAGGGCUCGUAGGCGGUUUGUCACGUCUGCUGUGAAAACUGGAGGCUCAACCUCCAGCCUGCAGUGGGUACGGGCAGACUAGAGUGCGGUAGGGGAGAUUGGAAUUCCUGGUGUAGCGGUGGAAUGCGCAGAUAUCAGGAGGAACACCGAUGGCGAAGGCAGAUCUCUGGGCCGUAACUGACGCUGAGGAGCGAAAGCACGGGGAGCGAACAGG